ACCAUUACAUUUCUAAACUAACAUUGUGAUUUGUAACUAACCAUUACAUUUCAUGUGAGUUUAGCAUUAAUUUCUUGAGCAUUUGUAACUGAAUUCAAAGCCCUAUAAAUGAAAUUCUACAUUCAUUCACAUAGGAGAUUCACAAGCCAGUUUUCAUUAUAUUCACAAAACAGUUUCGUUCACUCACAAAUCAAAGAUUCAAUCAUCAAACAGAAUCAUCAUUCAUCAAUAGGAGUGGAUUGAAACAGAAUUUUCAAAAGAAUCUGCAUUCGUUCACCAACACACAUCACGCAAGCAUCAAAUUCAAUCGCGCAUCAAAGAAGCAACAAUCACAGAAGCAGUCGCAAAAGGAGAAGAGCGGCUUAGAAUCAAAGAAAAGAAGUUUAUACCUGUUGUCGCCGCCGCGUAGAAAAAUGUUUGAAUGAUCGAACCAAAUUGAGGUUGAUUCUAAAACGCGACACAGAGCUCUGAAAACGCGGCAUCAAAAUGCAAUGCGAUACGAACGCGAUACUGCAUCCAAGACGCGAAUCAGGAGCGACGAGUUGGAGUUUAUGAACACGAAGCCAUGAACACUUCGGAAUUGAUGAACGCGAUGUUGAACAUUGUUGAUUUGUGGAUGAAACAUGUUUACAUCCGAAGUUGUUGAUGCAGCGAGGCGCGAGGAUGAUACUGAAGAUGAAGAGUGCGUUGGUGAUUUGGGAAUUGAUUCAGCUUAUGCGAUUUAGAAUUUAGUUUAGGAAAAUUUGAAUUAAUUUGAAUUCUGUAGGUUUAAUUCAAGGUUAAAUUAAUUUGUACAUAUUGACCAUUUUGCCCUUAGGGCUUAGAAAUUCUGAUUUUUAUACAUGUUCCCUUAGCCUAGGACUCUAAUUAGAAUUGUCUGAUUUUACUUAGUUGAUUACUUCAAUA